rnacentral:rRNA from 1 species
CAGCCGCCACGGUAACACGUAGGGUGCAAGCGUUAAUCGGAAUUACUGGGCGUAAAGCGUGCGCAGGCGGUUAUAUAAGACAGAUGUGAAAUCCCCGGGCUCAACCUGGGAACUGCAUUUGUGACUGUAUAGCUAGAGUACGGCAGAGGGGGAUGGAAUUCCGCGUGUAGCAGUGAAAUGCGUAGAUAUGCGGAGGAACACCGAUGGCGAAGGCAAUCCCCUGGGCCUGUACUGACGCUCAUGCACGAAAGCGUGGGGAGCAAACAGGAUUAGAGACCCCCGUAGUCCCUGUCUCUUAUAC